GAGAGAGAAAACGCUGUCAUAUGGAUUAUUAUAUAUUAUAUAUAUAUGCGCAUUACUAUUAACAUAGUAUCUGUUGGUGAAAGAUAAAGAUUUGCAGCAGAUAACACCAAUAUGGUUUGGUUCCAAUAGAGACCCAAUAAUAUAAUCAACAAUUAUAUUAGCAUUUAUAUAAGAAAAACUUGUUCAUCAUGCCUAAAGAAUUACGAUAUUUAUCUAAAAGACGAUAUAAUCAAUUGAUUAAUAAUGAAUUAAAUACUGCUUGUACCAAUUUUUUUCUCAACUCCUCUUCAAACGCAAGAAAACUUUAAUAUACAAGAAAACUUAAAAGAGAUAAAACGUUUGGUGGCAACAUGCAAUGUAACAUUAAGAGAUAACACUGAACGAUUGAAAAAAAUUGAAGAUGUAAUCAGGCGGAGCUAUCCAAUACAACAAUCUAUGGAAAGCAAUAAUUUUAUUGUGGAGUUUUUUCUUCUCAACCAAAUUGAAGAUAUAAGAAAUAUAGAAAAUAUAUUGAAAACAAAUAAAGAAGCAGAAACGCUACUCAUUUUUAUCGAAAAUUGGAGGGAAUAAUCAUAAAGACAAUAUUCAUCGGAUUUUAAAGAAUAUUUUCACAAAUAAAUGUGCCAUGGAUUGUUCCUGGAAAGAGAAAAAAGAUAAUUUUAAAAUUUGUAAUUUGCAGUUAAUAAAAACAAUAAAAAGAGAAGUUGUUUCACACUACCCAACAUUAACGGAAACAGAAACAGAAAACAUUAUGGCGGAAUGGUUUCGUUUUGCGAAGCAACAAUAUCACAGAGAAACGAAAAAUAAUAAGGAAAACGUACCUGAUAAGAUAAGAGAUGUUUAAACUGAUAAAUAAUAAAAAAUAAUGUUAAUUAUUACUUUGA